rnacentral:rRNA from 1 species
UGGGGAAUAUUGCACAAUGGGCGCAAGCCUGAUGCAGCCAUGCCGCGUGUAUGAAGAAGGCCUCCGGGUUGUAAAGUACUUUCAGCGGGGAGGAAGGGAGUAAAGUUAAUACCUUUGCUCAUUGACGUUACCCGCAGAAGAAGCACCGGCUAACUCCGUGCCAGCAGCCGCGGUAAUACGGAGGGUGCAAGCGUUAAUCGGAAUUACUGGGCGUAAAGCGCACGCAGGCGGUUUGUUAAGUCAGAUGUGAAAUCCCCGGGCUCAACCUGGGAACUGCAUCUGAUACUGGUCAGCUAGAGUCUUGUAGAGGGGGGUAGAAUUCCAUGUGUAGCGGUGAAAUGCGUAGAGAUGUGGAGGAAUACCGGUGGCGAAGGCGGCCCCCUGGACAAAGACUGACGCUCAGGUGCGAAAGCGUGGGGAGCAAACAGG